CCUACGGGAGGCAGCAGUGAGGAAUAUUGGUCAAUGGCCGUAAGGCUGAACCAGCCAAGUAGCGUGAGGGAAGACUGCCCUAUGGGUUGUAAACCUCUUUUAUGCGGGGAUAAAGGUGUCCACGUGUGGUUGUUUGCAGGUACCGCAUGAAUAAGGACCGGCUAAUUCCGUGCCAGCAGCCGCGGUAAUACGGAAGGUCCGGGCGUUAUCCGGAUUUAUGGGGGUAAAGGGGAGCGUAGUCCGGUCUUUAAGCGUGCCGUGAAAUUUUGUGGCUCAACCCCGCUCCGCCGUUGAAACUGUGUCCCUUGAGUGCGCGAAGGGUAGGCGGAAUGCGUGGUGUAGCGGUGAAAUGCAUAGAUAUAACGCAGAACACCAGUCGCGAAGGCAGCCUACCGGCGCGCAACUGACGGUCAUGCACGAAAGCGUGGGUAUCGAACAGGAUUAGAUACCCGUGUAGUC
rnacentral:rRNA from 1 species